AGCGAACGCUGGCGGCAGGCCUAACACAUGCAAGUCGAACGAACUCUUCGGAGUUAGUGGCGGACGGGUGAGUACCACGUGGUAACGUGCCUUUAGGUUCGGAAUAACUCAGGGAAACUUGUGCUAAUACCGAAUGUGCCCUUCGGGGGAAAGAUUUCUCGCCUUUAGAGCGGCCCGCGUCUGAUUAGCUAGUUGGUGAGGUAAAGGCUCACCAAGGCGACGAUCAGUAGCUGGUCGGAGAGGAUGAUCAGCCACAUUGGGACUGAGACACGGCCCAAACUCCUACGGGAGGCAGCAGUGGGGAAUCUUGCGCAAGGGGCGAAAGCCUGACGCAGCCAUGCCGGGUGAAUGAUGAAGGUCGUAGGAUUGUAAAAUUCUUUCACCGGGGACGAUAAUGACGGUACCCGGAGAAGAAGCCCCGGCUAACUUCGUG
rnacentral:rRNA from 1 species